rnacentral:ncRNA from 2 species
GGGUCUGGAAGCAAGGUAUGUUUCCAGAGGAUUCAUUGAUGGUCGGGCCGCCAUCU